rnacentral:rRNA from 1 species
GACGAACGCUGGCGGCGUGCUUAACACAUGCAAGUCGAACGGAAAGGCUCCAGCUUGCUGGAGUACUCGAGUGGCGAACGGGUGAGUAACACGUGGGUAAUCUGCCCUGCACUCUGGGAUACGCCUGGGAAACUGGGUCUAAUACUGGAUAUGACCUUUCUCCUUAUGGGGUUUGGUGGAAAGUUUUUCGGUGUAGGAUGAGCCCGCGGCCUAUCAGCUUGUUGGUGGGGUGAUGGCCUACCAAGGCGACGACGGGUAGCCGGCCUGAGAGGGUGAUCGGCCACAUUGGGACUGAGAUACGGCCCAGACUCCUACGGGAGGCAGCAGUGGGGAAUAUUGCACAAUGGGCGGAAGCCUGAUGCAGCGACGCCGCGUGAGGGAUGACGGCCUUCGGGUUGUAAACCUCUUUCAGCAGGGACGAAGCGUAAGUGACGGUACCUGCAGAAGAAGCACCGGCUAACUAUGUG